rnacentral:lncRNA from 1 species
CAGCCGAGCAGCGGAAGCGCUAGGGCCCCAGCUCCAGCCCUCCAAGCCGGCGCGAGUAGCCCACGCCACGCCCUCCGUCAGGUGAGACAGGGAAUGGGGCAGCAGGCGGCUGGACCGGGAGGCCCGAAGUCACCGCAUCGCUCCCAAGAAGGCGGUGACUGGAAGAACCCCGAGUUUCAUGAUUCCUCAAUGUGGCCCUGCCCCUGGAGCACCAGGAAAGUAAGAAAUGCUACGGAAAAGAAGGGGAGAGAGGUCACAGCAGUUUGACAUUAAGAGAAAGGAAAAGAAACUUAAAUAUCGCAAGAGGCAUUUCAAAGAAAGAACAACAGGAUUUGGAAAAUGAUUAGAUAAAGAGGCUGAAGAAGAAGGAGAGAUCAAACAUGACUUGGAGGUUUGGAGACGAGGCAAGGCUCUAUUCAAGGUCAGAUAGCCACCUUAGAACCAAUCCCCAGGAGGCCAAGACAAUGAAGAGACAGUUUCCAGGGACUUGGAAAUUGCUUCACUGUUUUCUCCAAAAAACAAAACCCUGCAUGGAGUAGAAGUGGAAGAGGAGAAGGCUAAGAAGAGCCUGAAGGAGUGAGAGAGCUGAGUCAAAGUGACAAGACUUUGGGAGGAAGAGAAAGAACUUCACCUGUCCUGGUUCUGAAGGGUAGAGGAAGGUCAAAGGAGAGCUGUGAAAUCCCAUAUCCCUAGUUACUAUCCCAUUAUCUACAAGGGGGGAAAAAAUGCUUUCUGUUCAUAUCUUUUUUCAGGAAACAUCUAAAUAUGCUUUCCUUACCCUAACCUGAUUGGCCUAUCUUGACCAUGUUCUUGGCUACCUGUUGAGCUAUAUUUGUCAGUUGUGACUGAAUGAUGCGGGAGGGAGGUGCAAAGAAGUCAGUCUGUCUCUACUCAAACCAAAUCAAGCGUUUUAAUUGAAUCGACUGAUCAGUGACUAGCUGAUAUUUUCACUGAUUUGCAGAAUCAUGGAAGUCAGAAAGAAGCUCAGAGGUGAUCUAAUUCAACACAUUCUUGAAGAGGAAUUCCCUCUAAAACAUCCCCAACAAGUAGUCAUCCUAGCACCUACUUAAAGAUCUCUGGUGAGGAAGACCCUACUAUCUCCCCAAGGCAUUCCAUUCUACCUUUAGAUAGCAACCCUCCCCCCAUUGUUACAAUUUCUGCCCUCUGGGGCCAAGUAGAACAAAUCUAAUCUUUCUUUCACAAGAUAUCCUUUAAUAUAUUUGAAGACAGAUUUCAUAGGCCCCUUAAGUCUUCUCUUCAGGCCUAAGAUAAACAUGCAGUUCUUUGAACUGAUCCUCAC